CAUCUUCUUCCUUCUCCUUCUCCACCUCCAUCCGCUCCCAAUCCCUUAACCUGGUUGGGAAGAGGCACUUUCAUCUCCAUCUCCAAUGGCUACCUUCAUCUACAAGCUCUCAUCCCGAUUGGGAGAGGCUAUCAUCCGCCUCACCCCAGUUGUGAAGGCUCGCGCAAGGAAACGCACACUUGGGGAAGAGAAGAGGGUGUGAUCGUCUUCCACCUUAACUUCUACAAGUCCAUCUUCAACAUCAUCAAACCCUUGUUCUGAUUGGGAGAGGUGCUCCCAUCUUCAUCUCUAGAAUCCGCCAUCGACAAGCCCUUGGCCCGGUUGGGCAAGACGAUUCCAUCUCAUCCAGAGCUUUGGGAUUCCUAGCUCCAUGUACAACUCCACUUGUAGAGGUGAAGAAGGCGCAGGGUUUCCCUACUUCAUCUCAUCUACAAGCAUCAUUCUACAUCUACCAUCGUCCGAUCGGAGGAAGAGUUUCUCCACUUUAGUCUUAGUUUAACUUAGCUUCAUUUAUGCUUGCAAUGUUUUUUGAUUAAAUUCCCCUUACGCUUUUACAUUACUUUAAUUUCUAUUAAUACAUUUUUAAUUCAUUUAAUUCUUGCAAUGCUUAAUUCCAUUUGAAUGUUAGUGAUGUUUGUUAUUUGGUUGGAUGCAAGUAGACUAUAUUAGAGUAGGAAUGCUUUACUUUAUAUGCCCUUUACUUCCUCUGCAAUCAUAGUUUAACUAAGUUAGAUUUUCAUUACUUGCAUUGCUUUCUAUUUGUUAGUCUUAACAUCAAAUCCAACACAAACCCCCUAAUUACAACAUAAAAAAAACUCAAAUCAAUAACAUUUAAUCUUGGGAUUACCAUUCGCCGGUUACAUUUUUGAAAAAGAUGAUUUGAGUUAUCCUAUACUACACUAGUUAGGGGUCGAUAAUUUGAAUUAUGACCAUGUUAUCGAGCAUCUGAUAGACUGUAGGAUGAGGGUCAUCAAAAAAGAGUAGAGGGAAGCAGACUUCAAAGGCAAAGGUGUGAUGGCAUGGAAAGAACUAUAGGCCCGGUGCAGCAUCCAAAGGAUGUGGGGUGAGUUGGAAGAUAACUUCAAGGAAGGUGUAACUAUGUAGGAGUUAAGUGUUGAGAGAAUGUACUUAUGUGAGAGUAGGAUCUUAAUAUAGGCAACCUCAACCUUAGAAAUGGUCGGAGUUAGUGUAUUAGUCGAUUUAUACUAAAUACCAGUUAACUAAUAGGUGAGUCAUAGACUCAACAGUUGAACAAAAAUAACUUGUUUUUAUGGUUGUUCAAUCUAGUUAACUAAUUGACUGGAUUAGUUGACAGGUGAAAAUUUCAAACCCCAAACGAGGAGAUUGAGGGAUUAUGAAAUAUUUAUGCGUGGAAGGAACAAUUGAUAAAGCAGCAAUGGACACAUCCGCUGAUGUACACAGCAGUAGAAGAAUAAGAAUUCCGGUCAACUGUUGGGCGUUGAACAAUAAUAGCACUUCCAGUUGAAAUGUACUAGAUAUUAAUCAAAUGUAAAUCUACCAUUGUUUGAACUGCAUACUUCGACUGCAAAGUAUGGAAUUAUUGCAUCAGAAUAGAGAUUAUCUUCACAGAAA